GCCUGGGUAGGGACCAUGGGGAUGAGCAAAUGGAUCUGAGAGACUCAAGAAAUAGAGCAGAUGGUACCUGGUGGUUGCCUUGUUGUAGGGGAACAGGCGCUUCUAACAGGCUGCAUGUCUGCUGCAAAGGAUGCAGGGUCCACCCUGACUGUGGAGGACACACAGGGGCUCCAGGGGCAACACUUCAUAGGCAAGGAACAAGCUCCCUGCCCUCAGCUCUACAAAACCCCUCAAGCUCACAAAAAUGGGCUGAAUGAGCCCAGGACUUAGGGGACCAGAUGAAUGGGACCACAGGACCCCAACAAGCCCCCUGGUGGGGCUGUGGCAUGCACAGACCCCAUCCAACUCUUGGCCACCUUCACCUGUGUAUGUAGAAUCCAAACACUUUACCUCUUUAAGAUUACCUUUCUUCAUGCAUGACUUUCAUUGGCUUGUAGGAUUUCCCCAGACAAUGCUUAGAACUCAAACUGCAGUGGGCAGAACACAAGCUGUGUAAUUACACCUUGUGCAAAUCUUGGCUAACAUGCACUGAACCACCAUUUUACUGAGCAGUUGCUAUAUGCCUAGACAAUGCCUGGCACACAGCCAGCACAUGCCCACAGGGAGGAGUGUGGGGGUGGAGUGGCACUCAAAUACUCAGGGGAGUUGCUUUCCUUCACCCAGCAGCCCCUGGCUGACACUCAGCCCUGGGCAGUUCCUUCUGUGUACAGGUUCUUAGCACUGCCCAGACACCAGGCAGAUCCAGGCUGAGAUGGGCAGCCCAGUGCACCGAGUGUCAUUGCGGGAUACCUGGAGCAGGCAAAUGCACCCCGACAUAGAGAGCGAGAGGUACAUUCAGUCCUUUGACGUGGAACGGCUCACGAACAUCCUUGAUAGAGGUGCCCAGAACACUGCCCUCCGGAGGAAAGUCGAAAGCAUCAUCUACAGCAACCCAGAGUUUAGCCCAAAGGAUAAUUAUUUCAUGACCCAGAAUGAACAUUACGAGGCCGCUGUUCGGAAGACAUUCCACAUCCAGAUGAUAGCACAGCGCCUGAGCUGGGCAGAAGACAGUCUUGAAUUACGUUAUGCUUACAGAGCCCUUUCUGGAGUCCUGGCCUUCAGUUUACACCGAGUCUUCCUGAUAGCCCUCAGGAGCCUGGGAUCAGAGGAGCAGAUUGACAAAUGGGUCCCACUCUGCAACAACUUCCAGAUCAUCACAACGUAUGCCCAGACGGAACUGGGACAUGGGACGUAUCUUCAGGGCCUGGAGACUGAAGCCACCUACGACGCAGCCACCCAGGAGUUUGUGGUACACAGCCCCACAAUGACUGCCACCAAAUGGUGGCCUGGGGACCUGGGACGGUCCGCCACCCACGCCCUGGUCCUGGCCCAGCUGAUCUGCUCAGGAGCCCAGAGGGGCAUGCAUGCCUUUAUCGUGCCCAUCAGGAGCCUCCAGGACCAUACCCCACUGCCAGGAAUUACUGUUGGAGACAUCGGGCCCAAGAUGGAUUUUGACCACACAGACAACGGCUUCCUGCAACUAGACCGCGUGCGGAUCCCCAGGGAGAACAUGCUGAGUCGUUUUGCACAGGUCCUGCCAGAUGGCACCUACAUCAAGCUCGGGACAGCACAGAGCAACUACCUCUCCAUGGUGGUGUUACGGGUGGAGCUGCUGCUGGGCGAGAUCAUCCCCCUGCUGCAGAAGGCCUGCGUCAUCGCCACCCGCUACUCGGUGGUCCGCCGCCAGUCCCGGCUCCGGCCCAGCGACCCAGAGACGAAAAUCCUGGACUACCAGACCCAGCAGCAGAAGCUCCUCCCGCAGCUGGCCACAGUCUACGCAUUCCACUUCCUGGCGGGCAGCCUCGUGGAGUUCUUCCAGAGCGCCUACAGUGCCAUCCUGCACAAAGACUUCAGCCUCCUGCCCGAGCUUCACGCACUGAGCUCAGGUGUGAAGGCCAUGGUGUCCGACCUCUGCACCCAGGGGGCUGAGGUUUGCCGCAGGGCCUGCGGUGGACACGGCUACUCGAAGCUGAGUGGCCUGCCGUCACUGGUCAACAAAGUGACUGCCUCCUGCACCUAUGAGGGUGAGAACACCGUGCUCUACCUACAGACGGCCAGGUUUCUGGUGAAGAGCUACCUGCAGGCUCAGGCCGCCCCAGGUACCACAUCGCAGAGGUCCCUCCCUCAGUCUGUCGCAUACCUCAGCGCACCUGACCUGGCCAGAUGCCCAGCCCAGAAGGCAGCCGACUUCCUCCACCCAGAGCUCUACACUACUGCCUGGACACACGUGGCGGCCAGGGACCCUAGGCAGCCUGGGACCAACCUCCAUCAGUCUCUUUUCCACUCAGUCAAGAAGCUGGACCUCUUUCCCUUGUCCUUCAGGCUCAUAAAGAACUCAGUGCAUCAUUUGCAGACUCUGAUGCAGUCCGGGGCCGACAGGCACGAGGCAUGGAACCAGACCACCAUCAUUCACCUCCAGGCCGCUAAGGCACACUGCUACUAUAUCACUGUGAAAAGCUUUACAGAAGCUCUGGAGAAACUAGAAAGUGAACCGGCAAUUCAUCAGGCACUCAAACGCCUCUGUGAUCUCUUCGCUUUGCACGGCAUCCUGACCCACACGGGCGACUUUCUCCACGAUGGCUUCCUAUCUGGCGCCCAAGUAGAUGCGGCGAGAACAGCCUACCUGGACCUGCUCCUCCUCAUCCGGAAGGAUGCCAUCCUGUUAACUGAUGCUUUUGACUUCACCGAUCAGUGUUUAAACUCAGCCCUUGGCUGUUACGAUGGAAACGUCUAUGAACGUCUGCUCCACUGGGCUCAGAGGUCACCAACCAACACUCAGGUUGGCAAUCACCUGGCAUAGCAUGUCUGUUUAAAACAUUUUGGGAAUACAUAAAAGGCACCAGGGCUGAGGACGUGACCUGGCAGGAACCCGUCUGGACUGUCAUCAGUACAACACACUGCUCAGGAUCUGGUAAAGAGAAUUGGGAGGAAGGCCCAAGUGCUAAAUCAUGGCUUGACAAGUGCAUACACACAGAGCGGUGCGGGGGCUUUUAAGUAAAAAAAAUAAGAAGAUAAAUCACUGUGGUGAUUUAACCACCUUAUUGUGAGCCUCCAACUCUGUUUUGUGCUGAUAAAGGUGGGUAUUCAGAGGUGACAGGAAGCUGGGGUGGGGGUCCCUCUCAGACCUGACUGCCUGCUAGAGACACCUCCUUUCUUUUCACUCUAAGGAACAAAAUCCCAGAAGUAAAGAAGGGUGCACUGCCUCCAAUGGCCCAGGAAAGCUGUAUAAAUGACAAUUAUAAGGGUUAUGGUGAAAAGAUCCCCAACUGUCCUAGGAAAAGAACUCCCAGAACUCCAUGUUAACAGAAGAUGGGGAGGACUCAUAAAAUCCUAUUAGUCUAGGGCUAUGGUCCCAGACUGCCUGCUACGAGCCUCACUGGGAGAAGUAAGGAAUAUCAAUGACUACAUUCACUGGGGAGAACCCUGCCUAUGAGAAAUAUAUAAGACCACUAUUACAAAGUUGGAGAUCCAAGCUGUAAAAUAAUCAACGGCAUUCAAGAGGCACCACUAUGUGAUAAUAGUACUAUGGCCAAUAUAUCAUUAAAAUGUUGAAGUAUAUGUAUAUAUAUAUAUACACACACACAUAUAUAUACACAGAGAGAGAGAGACAGACAGAGAGAGAGAGAGAGAGAGAGAGAGUCAUCUUCUUGAAAUGGAUCAAAGACCUGAAUGUAAGUCAUGAAACCAUAAAACUCUUAGAAGAAAACAUAGGCAAAACUCUCUUAAAUAUACACAUGAGCAACUUUUUCCUGAACACAUCGCCUUGGGAAAGGGAAACAAAAGCAAAAAUGAACAAAUGGGACUGCAUCAAACUAAAAAGCUUCUGUACAGCAAAGGACACCAUCAGUAGAACAAAAAGGCAUCCUAUAGUAUGGGAGAAUAUAUUCAUAAACGAUAUAUCCAACAAGGGGUUAGCAUACAAAAUAUAUAAAGAACUCACACACCUCAACACCCAAAAAGCAAAUAACCCAAUUAAAAAACAGGCAGAGGAUCUGAACAGACACUUCUCCAAAGAAGAAAUUCAGAUGGCCAACAGACACAUGAAAAGAUGCUCCACAUCGUUAAUCAUCAGGGAAAUGAAAAUUAAAACCAGAAUGAGAUAUCACCUCACACCAGUUAGGAUGGCCAACAUCGACAAGACUAGGAACAACAAAUGCUGGUGAGGAUGCAGAGAAAGGGGGGACCCUCCUACACUGCUGGUGGGAAUGUAAAUUUGCUCAACCAUUGUGAAAAGCAAUAGGGAGGGUCCUCAAAAAACUAAAAAUAGAAAUACCAUUUGACCCAGGAAUUCCACUCCUAGGAAUUUACCCAAAGAAAGCAAGAUCUCAGAUUCAAAAAGGCAUAUGCACCCCUAUGUUUAUCACAGCACUAUUUACAAUAGCCAAGAUAUGGAAGCAACCUAAGUGUCCAUCAGUAGAUGAAUGGAUAAAGAUGUGGUACGUAUACACAAUGGAAUAUUAUUCAGCCAUAAGAAGAAAACAAAUCCUACCAUUUGCAACAACAUGGAUGGAGCUGGAGGGUAUUAUGUUCAGUGAACUAAGUCAGGCAGUGAAAGCCAAGUACCAAAUGAUUUCCCUCAUUUGUGGAGUAUAACAACAAGGCAAAACUGAAGGAACAAAACACCAGCUAACCCACAGACUCCAGAAGGGAC